rnacentral:rRNA from 1 species
CAGGCCUAACACAUGCAAGUCGAACGCCCUCUUCGGAGGGAGUGGCAGACGGGUGAGUAACGCGUGGGAACCUACCUAUCAGUACGGAACAACUCAGGGAAACUUGUGCUAAUACCGUAUACGUCCUUCGGGAGAAAGAUUUAUCGCUGAUAGAUGGGCCCGCGUUAGAUUAGCUAGUUGGUGAGGUAAUGGCUCACCAAGGCGACGAUCUAUAGCUGGUCUGAGAGGAUGAUCAGCCACACUGGAACUGAGACACGGUCCAGACUCCUACGGGAGGCAGCAGUGGGGAAUAUUGGACAAUGGGCGCAAGCCUGAUCCAGCCAUGCCGCGUGAGUGAUGAAGGCCCUAGGGUUGUAAAGCUCUUUCAACGGUGAAGAUAAUGACGGUAGCCGUAGAAGAAGCCCCGGCUAACUUCGUGCCAGCAGCCGCGGUAAUACGAAGGGGGCGAGCGUUGUUCGGAAUCACUGGGCGUAAAGCGUACGUAGGCGGAUAGAUUAGUUAGGGGUGAAAUCCCGAGGCUCAACCUCGGAACUGCCUCUAAUACUGUCUAUCUAGAGAUCGAGAGAGGUGAGUGGAAUUCCUAGUGUAGAGGUGAAAUUCGUAGAUAUUAGGAAGAACACCAGUGGCGAAGGCGGCUCACUGGCUCGAU